CCUACGGGCGGCAGCAGUGAGGAAUAUUGGUCAAUGGACGAGAGUCUGAACCAGCCAAGUAGCGUGAAGGAUGACUGCCCUAUGGGUUGUAAACUUCUUUUAUAUGGGAAUAAAAUGUUCCACGUGUGGGAUUUUGUAUGUACCAUAUGAAUAAGGAUCGGCUAACUCCGUGCCAGCAGCCGCGGUAAUACGGAGGAUCCGAGCGUUAUCCGGAUUUAUUGGGUUUAAAGGGUGCGUAGGUGGAUUGUUAAGUCAGUUGUGAAAGUUUGCGGCUCAACCGUAAAAUUGCAGUUGAAACUGGCAGUCUUGAGUACAGUAGAGGUGGGCGGAAUUCGUGGUGUAGCGGUGAAAUGCUUAGAUAUCACGAAGAACUCCGAUUGCGAAGGCAGUUCACUGGACUGCAACUGACACUGAGGCUCGAAAGUGUGGGUAUCAAACAGGAUUAGAUACCCUUGUAGUC
rnacentral:rRNA from 1 species